UACGAAGGGGUCUAGCGUUGCUCGGAAUCACUGGGCGUAAAGCGCACGUAGGCGGCUUCUUAAGUCAGGGGUGAAAUCCUGGAGCUCAACUCCAGAACUGCCUUUGAUACUGAGGAGCUUGAGUCCGGGAGAGGUGAGUGGAACUGCGAGUGUAGAGGUGAAAUUCGUAGAUAUUCGCAAGAACACCAGUGGCGAAGGCGGCUCACUGGCCCGGUACUGACGCUGAGGUGCGAAAGCGUGGGGAGCAAGCAGG
rnacentral:rRNA from 1 species